UACGUAGGGGGCUAGCGUUGUCCGGAAUCAUUGGGCGUAAAGAGCGUGUAGGUGGCUUGGUAAGUCCGCUGUGAAAGUCCAGGGCUCAACCCUGGAAUGCCAGUGGAAACUGUCAAGCUAGAGUCCGGAAGAGGCGAGUGGAAUCCUGGUGUAGCGGUGAAAUGCGCAGAUAUCAGGAGGAACACCAAUGGCGAAGGCAGCUCGCUGGGACGGUACUGACACUGAGACGCGAAAGCGUGGGGAGCAAACAGG
rnacentral:rRNA from 1 species